GGGGCCCGGGCUCCCCGGCGGGGCGCCGGCCUCGGCGGAGCGGGGCGGGGAGCGACGGGGGUCGCGGAGGCCCGGGGCGGGGCGGCGACGCGACUAGCUCCGCCGGCCCCCCGCGGGCAGCCUGCCCGGGCUUGGGGCGCAGAGAUCUGGCGAGACCGCGGGGGUGGCUCGCCCGGCCCGGCCGGGCCCGCGGGAACGGCCAGCACUGGGGGCACCCCAGGGCCGCGGGCGUGGGCGGCUUCGCUCGGGGAAGCUGGGGCUUGCAGCCCGACGUGCUGUGUGCGGGUUGUUCCGUGCUUUUGGGGGAGGAACUUUCAGAAGUACCUGAGAGGAGGUCGUAGCGAGGUCAUUCAUCCUGAAUGACACUGAGCCAAGUGGUGUGGCUGAUACUCUUGAGGGAAGGUAUGAGGAGUGGGCCCAGGCAAACUUCAUGAAGUUCAACAAGGCCAAGUGCAAGGCCAGAAAGCCAACCGAAUCCUGGGCUGCAUCACAAGAAGCGUGGCCAGCAGGUCAAGGGAGGUGAUUCUGCCCCUCUGCUCCACUCUGGUGAGACCCCACCUGCAGUGCUGCGUCCAGGUUUGGGGCCCUCAGCACAGGAAAGACAUGGACCUGUUGGAGCAGGUCCAGAGGAGGCCACAAAAAUGAUCACAGGGAUUUAGCACCUCUCCUAUGAGGACAGGCUGAGAGAGUUGGGAUUGUUCAGCCUGGAGAAGAGAAGGCUGCAGGGAGACCUUAUUGCAGCCUUUCCAUUUAAAGGGGACUUAUAAGAAAGGUAGAGAGAGAUUUUUUUACCAGGGCCUGUAGUGAUAGGACAAGGGGCCAUGGUUUUAAACAUUAUGAGGGUAGGUUUAGAUUGGAGAUAAGGAAGAAAUUUUUUACUAUGAGGGUGGUGAGGCACUGGAACAGGGUGCCCAGAGAAGUUGUGGAUGCCCCAUCCCUGCAAAUGUUCAUGGCCAGGUUGGAUGGGCUUUGAGCAACCUGGUGGUUGUGGAAGAUGUCCCUGCCCAUGGCAGAGGAGUUGGACUAGAUGAUCUUUUAAUGUUCCUUCCAACCCAAACCAUUCUAUGAUUCUAUGUUAUCUAUAAAAAGUACUUACUCCUAGCAACUUCAUGUUGUACUGAACAGGAUCAUUACAUGAUAAUGUAGGCUAUCAGUUAAGGAACACUUCUAAGUACGUACAUCUUUUUAACCAACAGGAACAGACAGGUAUUCUUCAGCAUGAUCUACAUUACCAAAAUAUUGAUUUAAAUCAUUACAAACUUGAGCUCUCUUACAAAUCUUUUGGAGGUGUACUUCUUCAUUAGGAUCCUGUGACUAAUUUUUUCCACAGUGAAAAUCAAACAUGCCCUUGUAGUACCCUGACAGAAGUAGAAAGUACUGUGUAUCCAACCUUAUGUGAGAGAGUGGAAGGCCUGAAAUGAAAAAAUAUAAAAUAUCUUAACAAAGUGAAAGCUGGAUAAUACCCACAUAAGUGUGCCAGAAAUCAAAGAAGAAUCGUAUUCCACAAUAUUUUUGCCACUCUACUCAGUUCUGUGUUGCAAGUAAGAGGGAAUUGCAGAUUUUUACCAAGAACUCCAGAAGAGACAGCGUGGGAUAUCUGGAAAGCCAAGGACACGUAGUGAACAAUCCAGACUCAGACUGUGUAAACAAGAAGGCCUCAAGGAUGUCGCAAAGGUUGACUGCGGUUUUAAAGGCACGAAGCAAGCAGGAAAAAGGGGAAGGAACCACCGACUUAGCGGAACUAAAAGCAGGAUAUGGGCAGAUCAGGCUGUGCAUGUGGAUUAAGAGUAUAAACGAAUCAGAAUAUAACUAACACCGCAUGGCCAAACACAGCUGACCAAUUAACAAUAGACUUGUGCGUGAUAAGUUGGUUAAAGAGCUAUAUUAACCGUGCUGUGUCUGCAAUACACUGACAUCUGCUUGAUCCUAUUGAUCGUGUGCUGUGUCCGUGACUUCCGCGUCAGCAAGACAGCUUGUCACAGACGUGUGAUGGAGUUCUUCAGCUGCUGUGUCCUGUGCUCCAGGCUCAAGGACUCCUCCAUGUCACAAGGAACAUCUGCAAUGGUGCUCAGCCCCACUGAGGGAAGAGAAGAAAGUUCAAGAUUAGUGAAGAUGUUCCUACUAUGGUCCUUUGUACAUGAGAGCCAGCUGUGGUCUUCUCCAAAUGAUGUCUAGUACAGAACAGAAACUUUAAUCUCAUUGCUCAGGAGUUCAAAACUGAAACCAAAAUCAAUAAAGUUUUUGCUUUGUGUA